ACGUCCUUUCUGCAUCACUUUUGGAUCACCUUUGAUCGGCAAUUUAGGCCUCCAACGAGCCAUUUCAGAACGCUCAACAUGGAAUUCUUGCUUCUUGCAUGUUGCUGCAAACCAAGACCCAGUUCCAAGUCUCUUUCUCCGACCUCACAUUCCUCAAUUUUUGGCCUCAACUCCACAAACUAUUCUUUAUAGGCCUUUUGGUGCAUUUCUCUUGUGUUCUGAAUUGGGAUGUACUUGUGUUGAGGACCCUGAAGUAGUUGUUCGUUUUUUAGAAUCAAUGGCCUUGGAAAGCACGGGAAGUCAAAUUUCUGACGAAUACUUGCUGAGGUAUUAUGCAGAAAUAUUGGAGACGCUGAAAGCCAGACUUAUCUUGAAGAGAAGUUCACUGCUUGGUCUUUCGGUUACAGAUUCACUUGAGGCAGGGAUAAUUCUACAACUGGAAGCAAUUGGUGCUAAAAGGAUCCAGCAACCACAGCAUAACAAGGACUUCACCAACCUGGUCUCCAAAUUGAAAGAAAGGGAGCAAAUCCGUAUGUUCAAUAAAAGGAAAGCCUUGAAUCCAAGCCGAAAAUUAAAUGAAAUAAAGAUAAAAAUGGCCUACCUCGAAUGGUACAAGAAGAGGUGCAAGGCCAAGGAAAUAGGAUACUAUGAUAGUUACAAGAACCAUCUUUCUGAAAGUGAUAGAGAUGUUACCAAGUAUAAGAAAUUUCUCACGAACUACUGGAAAGACUUGGUUGAAGAAGCUGAGAAAAAGCCCCAAAAGGAAGGGAAAUUCAUUCAAUUGACGUGGCUUUUUGCCGGAACAAAUUAUAGAAGAAUGGUUGAGCCUCUUGAGAUAGCAGAGUACUACAGAACACAUGGCAACAGAAACUAUGAGGCUUUAAGGUCUGAACAUUACCGUCUGUUGGAGAAGUGGCAAAAAGAGGAUGCAGAUAGACCUACUGGCCCCCCGAGUAACAAGAAGAAGAAAGAAGUGGCUGGUGCUUUGACAGAGGAUUCUUGCUUUUGGGCAAAGGUGGAGGAAGCUAUCAUUUCAUGUGAAUUGUGGAUGGCUCCUACAUCCAGUGCCUUGGAGAAACAAUCAUCAAGGGAAUGCCUAAUUGACUUUGAGAAGUAUGUAAUGGAGCAAAUCAAGAAUUAUGCAGUAUCACCUGAGAUUUUCUUGAGGGAAAGCAGUUUUAUGAAAUGGUGGGGAAUGUAUCAGAAUACUGCCUCUAAUCGUUCACUCAUUGACUUUAUGAGGAACAGUAGAAAUGUCCAAUAUGAGAAGGGGUGCUUUUAGUCCUCUCACCGAAUAGAUUGUACUUUGUUGAUGGGAAUAAAUGUGUGCAUUUGCUCUAAAUUGAGUAAUGUGAAAUAUCCUAGUGAAGUUCAGUCAAUCAAAUUUUGAAUGGCAGCAUCUUUUUUUUUUUU
rnacentral:misc_RNA from 1 species